rnacentral:rRNA from 1 species
GAUGAACGCUCGCGGCAGGCCUAACACAUGCAAGUCGAGGGGGAAGUUACUUUCGGGUGACUGAGACCGGCGUACGGGUGCGUAACGCGUAUACAAUCUGCCUUUCACUGGGGGAUAGCCCGAAGAAAUUUGGAUUAAUACCCCAUAGUAUAUAGGGACGGCAUCGUUUUUAUAUUAAAGCUUAGGUGGUGAAAGAUGAGUAUGCGUUCUAUUAGCUAGUUGGAGAGGUAACGGCUCCCCAAGGCGAUGAUAGAUAGGGGUUCUGAGAGGGAUGUCCCCCACACUGGUACUGAGAUACGGACCAGACUCCUACGGGAGGCAGCAGUGAGGAAUAUUGGACAAUGGUCGGAAGACUGAUCCAGCCAUGCCGCGUGCAGGAUGAAGGUCUUAUGGAUUGUAAACUGCUUUUGUAAGGGAAGAAUAAGGGCUACGCGUAGUUUGAUGACGGUACCUGACGAAUAAGCAUCGGCUAACUCCGUG